AGUGAACGCUGGCGGUAGGCCUAACACAUGCAAGUCGAACGGCAGCACAGUAAGAGCUUGCUCUUACGGGUGGCGAGUGGCGGACGGGUGAGGAAUACAUCGGAAUCUACUUUUUCGUGGGGGAUAACGUGGGGAAACUUACGCUAAUACCGCAUACGACCUACGGGUGAAAGCAGGGGAUCUUCGGACCUUGCGCGAUUGAAUGAGCCGAUGUCGGAUUAGCUAGUUGGCGGGGUAAAGGCCCACCAAGGCGACGAUCCGUAGCUGGUCUGGGAGGCUGAUAGGCCACACUGGAACUGAGACACGGUCCAGACUCCUACGGGAGGCAGCAGUGGGGAAUAUUGGACAAUGGGCGCAAGCCUGAUCCAGCCAUACCGCGUGGGUGAAGAAGGCCUUCGGGUUGUAAAGCCCUUUUGUUGGGAAAGAAAAGCAGCAGGUUAAUACCCCGCUGUUCUGACGGUACCCAAAGAAUAAGCACCGGCUAACUUCGUG
rnacentral:rRNA from 1 species